AGCCGGGUUCCAUGCAAUGGGACCGCCGGCCAACGGGUCAGGACCGAGAGGUAGCAGCCCAGCUGACGUGUACCAGGUGCCGUGGCUCACCUGGCUCUC
rnacentral:SRP_RNA from 1 species